GACGAACGCUGGCGGCGUGCUUAACACAUGCAAGUCGAACGGAAAGGCCCCUUUGGGGGUACUCGAGUGGCGAACGGGUGAGUAACACGUGAGUAACCUGCCCUUGACUUCGGGAUAACUUCAGGAAACUGGGGCUAAUACCGGAUAGGAAUCCUUGCUGCAUGGUGGGGGUUGGAAAGCUUCGGCGGUUUUGGAUGGACUCGCGGCUUAUCAGCUUGUUGGUGGGGUAGUGGCUUACCAAGGCUUUGACGGGUAGCCGGCCUGAGAGGGCGACCGGCCACAUUGGGACUGAGAUACGGCCCAGACUCCUACGGGGGGCAGCAGGGGGGAAUAUUGCACAAUGGGCGGAAGCCUGAUGCAGCAACGCCGCGGGCGGGAUGACGGCCUUCGGGUUGUAAACCGCUUUCAGCAGGGGCGAAGCUUGUGGUGACGGUACCUGCAGAAGAAGCACCGGCUAACUACGUG
rnacentral:rRNA from 1 species